rnacentral:rRNA from 1 species
GAUGAACGCUAGCUACAGGCUUAACACAUGCAAGUCGAGGGGCAGCGCAGUGUAGCAAUACAUGGGCGGCGACCGGCGCACGGGUGCGUAACGCGUAUCCAACCUUCCCGUUACUCAGGGAUAGCCUUCCGAAAGGGAGAUUAAUACCUGAUGGUGUUCAAAUUCCGCAUGUUAUUUGAACUAAAGAUUUAUCGGUAACGGAUGGGGAUGCGUGACAUUAGAUAGCAGGCGGGGUAACGGCCCACCUAGUCUACGAUGUCUAGGGGUUCUGAGAGGAAGGUCCCCCACACUGGAACUGAGACACGGUCCAGACUCCUACGGGAGGCAGCAGUGAGGAAUAUUGGUCAAUGGUCGGAAGACUGAACCAGCCAAGUAGCGUGAAGGAUGAAGGUUCUAUGGAUUGUAAACUUCUUUUAUACGGGAAUAAAACCUCCCACGUGUGGGAGCUUGUAUGUACCGUAUGAAUAAGCAUCGGCUAACUCCGUGCCAGCCGCCGCCGUAAUAC